GGCGGACUCGAUUCAUGACACCAGCACUGAACAUGAGGGUUAGUCAUUUGAAGAGGCGCAGGUGCUGUGCUGAGGGUCAAGACGCUGAUUCAAUCUCAGCCCUCGAGAGAGAGUGAGAGAGAGAGAAGAUGAGUGUGAGGAAACAGACAGGGAGAGCAAACGCUGCAGAUGAAAAAGAGUUUCUCACAGGUCGCUAUGCCCCUUUAUGCAGCAGAUGGGAGACACAGAGAGAGAGAGGAAGGAAGAAAAACAAGAAAUGAAGACAGGAGGGAAGAUUUAUAUCAGAACCCCACUGUUAGGAUUCUCCAUCAUUGCCACAGCGACAGGUUACCUGGCAACGGGAUACACAAUGGUGCGGUAACCGUGACGACAGUGCAGUGGUCUGUCUGGCCAAAGACAAAGGUUUGAGAUGGACAGGAGAGCCUCAGACGGCAGAGAAAAGGUGAAGUGUGUGUGUGUGUUUGAGAGAGAGAGAGAGAGAGAAUCAGUCUAUUUACUUUUUUUAAACUCUCAAUAUAUCCAUUCAUGAGACUGAUAUUAUUAUUGACACAAACACACAUGGACGGACAGAGUCUCCCUCUCUUUUUAAUUCUCUCUCUCACACACACUCUGACACAGUGUAGUUUCAGUUCAAUAGCGCUUUAUUGGCAUAACUGUCAAAAUGCAAAAUGCCAUAGAAAGGCAGAGUGUAAU
ensembl:lncRNA